GCCGAGUGGUUUAAGGCGGCGGUCUUGAAAACCGCUUCUCCUUAUGGAGACGUGGGUUCGAAUCCCACCCUCUCCGCCA
rnacentral:tRNA from 1 species